rnacentral:lncRNA from 13 species
ACAUCUAUUCCAUCUAUUCUCAUGCAGCUCAACCAGAGAUGUCAGAGAUGACAUUUUUAUCAAACACAGAAAUCUGUCAGGACCAAAGAGAGAAGGUGCUAGGGGAAUCCUCAUGGUUCUGGGGGUGGAUUCAUAGCCUCUCAUCAUAAACUCACAUUCAUAAGCAUGCGUUUCCUACAGUGCAGCAAUCCGAUUACACUCUUGAUGUUUAUAAUAUUCUGGAACAUUGGACGCAUCAUAAUACCCAUAAAACCUGGUGGUCAAACACGAAAAUGGUUCCAAUAGUUUUUUCACUAUUCAUUUUUCACAUAGUGAAUUUUACAAACACUUCAAACUAGGUGUGACAUUUUGAUAACUGUGUAAUUCUCUCUCAGACAAGGUGAGUUUUAUCAAUAUAUUUAGCCUCAAUUUACUCUAAAACAUUUUCAAAAUCCUAAUUAGCAACAGAGAUAACUACAAAUUCCUCCAGGAAGCUCCUGCAAGUCAUCUCUAGCCGACACUGUCAUUUACCGUUCACCAGCUCAAUCAGAGACCUGUGCCCAAUCCAUGAUGAAUCCAUGUGCUGGAUUGAAAUUAAUUGAAUAAAAUCCCCUUUCUCUGUCUUAGCUAGCCACUGACUACACUUUAGCUAGCUAAUUAGCAGAACAGAGUAUGUCAACUUUGUUGUCUGUUUCAGAUCUCAUGGCAUUUUUCAAGGAUGAGCAUAAGAGCAUUAAAAUGGGAGAAGACCACUAUAAGUCUGGUCAUGUGGAGAAGUGCAGCUAUAGUGAGGGGCAACUUACCGGUUUGGUCAGGACCAGCAUGAGGGAUAAAGUUUAUCCUGUGUCGUUCAUAAUAUUGGCCAUAUGGAUGUGGAAUGUGAGUGGAGGAAGCCAGCCGUGCCCAACAAAAUGCAGUCAGUGGAGGGCUUGUACCCAGCCAAAGACUACAACGCUCUGUCCCGAGAGCACACAGACGAUGUUCAGUGACUAAUGAACUGUCUCCGGGGCAGGUUCAGUGGAAUGGCAUGUUUCCUUGAACCUGAGCCAGAACAACUGCUACCCUCCCUGUCAUCCCUGUCUGUCCUGACAAUUAUUAAAAAACAAGAGCACCUGGGGCAUGCAGGCAUCCUGGCUGGCAUGGCGCUGUCGGUGGAGCAGCAGGAGGCUAAACGGCAGGCAACAGUUGGACAGCGCA